rnacentral:rRNA from 1 species
UACGUAGGGGGCAAGCGUUGUCCGGAAUCAUUGGGCGUAAAGCGCGUGUAGGCGGUCCGGUAAGUCGGCUGUGAAAGUCCAGGGCUCAACCCUGGGAUGCCGGUCGAUACUGCCGGACUAGAGUUCGGAAGAGGCGAGUGGAAUUCCCGGUGUAGCGGUGAAAUGCGCAGAUAUCGGGAGGAACACCAAUGGCGAAGGCAGCUCGCUGGGACGAUACUGACGCUGAGGCGCGAAAGCUAGGGGAGCAAACGGG